AACUCUUACCGGCGGAUGUCUUGGCUCCCACAACGAUGAAGAACGCAGCGAAAUGCGAUACGUAAUGCGAAUUGCA
rnacentral:rRNA from 1 species